rnacentral:rRNA from 1 species
AGAAAUGAAGAUUAAUACCUUAUAGUCUAUAUAUAUAGCAUUAUAUAAAUAGUAAAGCUUCGGCGGUAUAAGAUGAGUAUGCGUCCUAUUAGUUAGUUGGUAAGGUAACGGCUUACCAAGACAACGAUAGGUAGGGGCCCUGAGAGGGGGAUCCCCCACACGGGUACUGAGACACGGACCAGACUCCUACGGGAGGCAGCAGUGAGGAAUAUUGGACAAUGGAGGCAUCUGAUCCAGCCAUGCCGCGUGCAGGAAGACUGCCCUAUGGGUUGUAAACUGCUUUUAUACAGGAAGAAACCUUUCUACGUGUAGAGAUUUGACGGUACUAUAAGAAUAAGGACCGGCUAACUCCGUGCCAGCAGCCGCGGUAAUACGGAGGGUCCGAGCGUUAUCCGGAAUCAUUGGGUUUAAAGGGUCCGUAGGCGGGAAUCUAAGUCAGUGGUGAAAUCUUACAGCUCAACUGUAAAAUUGCCAUUGAUACUGGAUUUCUUGAAUUAGUGUGAAGUGGUUAGAAUGUGUAGUGUAGCGGUGAAAUGCAUAGAUAUUACACAGAAUACCAAUUGCGAAGGCAGAUCACUAACACUAUAUUGACGCUGAGGGACGAAAGCGUGGGGAGCGAACAGGAUUAGAUACCCUGGUAGUCCACGCCGUAAACGAUGGAUACUAGCUGUUCGAUCUUCGGAUUGAGUGGCUACGCGAAAGUUAUAAGUAUCCCACCUGGGGAGUACGUUCGCAAGAAUGAAACUAACUCAAAGGAAUUGACGGGGGCCCGCACAAGCGGUGGAGCAUGUGGUUUAAUUCGAUGAUACGCGAGGAACCUUACCAGGGCUUAAAUGUAAGUUGCAUAGAUCAGAGAUGGUCUUUUCUUCGGACUACUUACAAGGUGCUGCAUGGUUGUCGUCAGCUCGUGCCGUGAGGUGUCAGGUUAAGUCCUAUAACGAGCGCAACCCCUGUUGUUAGUUGCCAGCGAGUCAUGUCGGGAACUCUAAAGAAACUGCCGGUGCAAACCGUGAGGAAGGUGGGGAUGACGUCAAAUCAUCACGGCCCUUACGUCCUGGGCCACACACGUGCUACAAUGGCGAGUACAAAGGGCUGCUACCUGGUGACAGGAUGCAAAUCUCUAAAGCUCGUCUCAGUUCGGAUUGAAGUCUGCAACUCGACUUCAUGAAGCUGGAAUCGCUAGUAAUCGGAUAUCAGCCAUGAUCCGGUGAAUACGUUCCCGGGCCUUGUACACACCGCCCGUCAAGCCAUGGAAGCUGGGAGUGCCUGAAGUCGGUGACCGCAAGGAGCUGCCUAG